UCCAACCUUCCCAUAACUCAGGGAUAGCCUUUCGAAAGAAAGAUUAAUACCUGAUAGUACUUUUUUCAAGGCAUCUUAGAAAAAAGUUAAAGAUUUUAUUGGUUAUGGAUGGGAUGCGUUCCAUUAGAUAGUUGGUGAGGUAACGGCUCACCAAGUCUUCGAUGGAUAGGGGUUCUGAGAGGAAGGUCCCCCACAUUGGUACUGAGACACGGACCAAACUCCUACGGGAGGCAGCAGUGAGGAAUACUGGUCAAGUGGGCGAGAGCCUGAACCAGCCAAGUAGCGUGAAGGAAUGAAGGUCCUAUGGAUUGUAAACUUUCUUUUAUAGUAGAAUAAAGUGAUCCACGUGUGGAUUUUUGUAUGUAUACUAUGAAUAAGGAUCGGCUAACUCCGUGCCAGCCGCCGC
rnacentral:rRNA from 1 species